UUCCGGCGGUUAAAGAUGGGCAUGCGUGGCAUUAGUUAGUUGGUGAGGUAACGGCUCACCAAGGCAAUGAUGCCUAGGGGUCCUGAGAGGGUUUUCCCCCACACUGGUACUGAGACACGGACCAGACUCCUACGGGAGGCAGCAGUAAGGAAUAUUGGGCAAUAGGCGCAAGCCUGACCCAGCCAUGCCGCGUGCAGGAUGACGGCCCUAUGGGUUGUAAACUGCUUUUGUAUGGGAAAAAACUCCCGCACGUGUGCGGCGCUGAUUGUACCAUACGAAUAAGCAUCGGCUAACUCCGUGCCAGCAGCCGCGGUAAUACGGAGGAUGCAAGCGUUAUCCGGAUUUAUUGGGUUUAAAGGGUGCGCAGGCGGAUUAGUAAGUCAGUGGUGAAAGCUCCCGGCUCAACCGGGAAAAUGCCAUUGAUACUGUUAAUCUUGAGUACAGUUGAGGUUGGCGGAAUGUAUCACGUAGCGGUGAAAUGCAUAGAUAUGAUACAGAACACCGAUAGCGAAGGCAGCUUACCAAACUGUAACUGACGCUCAUGCACGAAAGCGUGGGGAGCAAACAGGAUUAGAUACCCUGGUAGUCCACGCUGUAAACUAUGAUCACUCGCUGUUGGCGAUACACUGUCAGCGGCUUAGCGAAAGUGUUAAGUGAUCCACCUGGGGAGUACGAUCGCAAGGUUGAAACUCAAAGGAAUUGACGGGGGCCCGCACAAGCGGAGGAGCAUGUGGUUUAAUUCGAUGAUACGCGAGGAACCUUACCUGGGCUUAAAUGCAGAACGACCUCCCGAGAAAUCGGGACUUCCUUCGGGACGGACUGCGAGGUGCUGCAUGGUUGUCGUCAGCUCGUGCCGUGAGGUGUCGGGUUAAGUCCCAUAACGAGCGCAACCCUUAUCCUUAGUUGCCAACAGGUAAUGCUGGGAACUCUAAGGAAACUGCCUACGCAAGUAGUGAGGAAGGUGGGGAUGACGUCAAAUCAGCACGGCCCUUAUGUCCAGGGCUACACACGUGCUACAAUGGUCGGUACAGAGGGCAGCUACCUGGCAACAGGAUGCUAAUCUCGAAAGCCGAUCUCAGUUCGGAUUGGAGUCUGCAACUCGACUCCAUGAAGUUGGAUUCGCUAGUAAUCGCGCAUCAGCCAUGGCGCGGUGAAUACGUUCCCGGGCCUUGUACACACCGCCCGUCAAGCCAUGGAAGCUGGGAGUACCUGA
rnacentral:rRNA from 1 species